UCUGCCCCCUCUUCUUGAGGACGCCGCCAUCAAAGCGAAGAAGAAACGGAAGUGGGAGGCAGAUGAAGCAGUGGUCUUGCUCAUGCCAGGCCAGGGGAGAGCAUCACCCCGUCCACGGAUGUAGAUGACAUGACCUUUAUGGCCUCCGUUGGAGCGGGGAACCCUUCGUCUAUGGGCAUCUCCUCCCACCCUGAUGACGCUGAGGCGAGCUCCAUUGCCCUCCCGGCCUCCCCUGGAGGGUGAUGCCACCACGACACCUGUUGCCCUAACGACCUUGUCGAUGGCCCCCGCGAAAGGACAUUGGAGGCGGCUGGGCUGUCUUCCACUCCCCCACAUUGGCAGUUCACGAGACCGUGUCGCCUCCUUCUGUGCCAGCUGAUCAUGCGACGCGUCACGAGGAGGUUUUGCCACCAAUCGCGCCCACUCCACCUCCUCCGGCGCCGGACGCCGGAGCCUCCCGGACGCGGUGGAGUGUAUUCACCGGGACGCUCUCUUCCCGAGCGUAUGUUCCGGGGAAGACAGUGAAGGCUGCUGCCCUUGCGGCGAAGGGGGCGCAUCGGCCUCUCAAAUCCUCCCCCUCCUACAUCUGCCAUACAUCUGCCAGGGUGACUCUCUCGGCCGUCCCGGUCGUCUUGCCUGCAGCCUCGACGUCCGCUGCUGCUGACGUGGGUGCAUCGGCGACCUCCAUUGUCCGGGAAGUGUUGGGAGCAUACUGUCGGCGUCCCUGUUCCAGAGAUACAGGAGUUCUUGCCUGACCUCGAGGUGGUUCCCGUGACACAGCUAUCACUGCUGGUGCCCCUCCCACGGUGGGUUCGACGGUUGUUUCCCUACCACCGCUGUUGCUGUCUUUGGGCGCUACGGCGGUGGUAGCUGCGGCGUCCGUCAUGACUCAUGCCUCGGGCUCCGUCGCUGCCACCUCCUGUUGUCUCCUCCUCGCGUGUGCUGUCAACGCCUCCCCUUUCGGCUUCUGGAGUGGCCAUGGAAACCUUCCCAUGUUCAUCCUUGAUGGCUCGAAGGGGGAGGAAAUGUAGGCGAAGGAGUGGCACCUGAUUGAGGCAGCUUUUGACCAGGCUGACAGGAGCCUAUAGUUGGUGGAGCGUUUUCUCCACUAUUUUGGUCUGGCAGUUUCAAUCGCUCGUUCGUCCAUGACACUUGACAUCAUCCCACACGGCCAGCUUGUUUAUUCUCGGUCAUCGUCUAGGAGGGAGGCGCUGCGGGCCACCUAGCAGGAGGUGGAGAGGCUGCGGCCGCAGAUCGCCCGCUGGGAGAAGAGGGACCACCAGCUCUCCAGUCUCCACCCUUCAAGCCAAGGCCGAGCGUCUCGAGAGUGAGGCAACAUGCCUUCACUCGGGGCGCGAUGCGGCGUGUAACGAUGUCAGACAACUUCGUGGGGAGAGGCCCAUCUUCGGUGAGAUCUACGCGAGGCGAGCUUGCAGGUCGAGGACGCCGAUGGUCCCUGCGGGCGACAAACGCUCGCUUGGAGGAGGUGAACUUGGACCUUCAGCGAGAGCAGGGGUGGUUGGAGGUAGUGUCACACCCGAUUUUAAAAAGUAAACUGAAUGCGAACCAUGUACGUGCCAGAAUCAGAAUUUUAUAGACACAUUGAUUACAUAACUGGACGUCAUCACACAGUGCUCAGAUAAUAACGUAAAAUGUAUUAAUUUGAUUACAUCAUGAUGUACGAGACAUCCACAUAGUCUUGAACAUAUAUCAAAGUACAAAAGUCUUGAACA